UUAAAAGAAGCGCCAGGGAGUGGUAUCUCAGAAGCUGCCAUUUCAGCAAGUGCUCCGCCAAGUGAGUGACCUUAAGGAAAACCAAAGAGUUAAGUUUUUUUUUUUUGUUUUGUUUUUUUUUUGAAAUA
rnacentral:ribozyme from 1 species